AUAAAUAUGUCUGUUUCAUGGGAAUGGAACCCAUGACCUGAGCUAAGUGACAGUGAUAGUAGCCUGUCCACCCCAUCUUCUGUUGGUGACUGAUGUGAGCAGAGAUGAGCAUCAGCUAAUGCUACUUCUUUGUGCUGUUCUUAAGUAGCGAACGACCUGGCUUGAUCACAUCUGCACUCCUGAAAUGAUGAUAACAGACUAUCAGGGUUGAAGGUAAAGCACUAUUUGGCAGUUCGCAGAAAUUGGGAGUUGAGGUCUGACUGUUAAAGGUCACAUUCUUCCUGAUGCCGUUUUUCAAACUUUG